UACGGGGGGAGCAAGCGUUGUUCGGAUUUACUGGGCGUAAAGGGCGCGUAGGCGGCCAGCACACGUCGGUUGUGAAAUCUCCGGGCUUAACUCGGAAAGGUCAACCGAUACUGUGCGGCUAGAGUGCGGAAGGGGCAACUGGAAUUCUCGGUGUAGCGGUGAAAUGCGUAGAUAUCGGGAAGAACACCCGUGGCGAAGGCGGUUCUCUGGGACGGUACUGACGCUGAGACGCGAAAGCGUGGGGAGCGAACAGG
rnacentral:rRNA from 1 species